rnacentral:rRNA from 1 species
AGAUUAAGUUAUUAAGGGCGCACGGUGGAUGCCUUGGCACUAGAAGCCGAUGAAGGACGUUACUAACGACGAUAUGCUUUGGGUAGCUGUAAGUAAGCGUUGAUCCAGAGAUUUCCGAAUGGGGGAACCCAGCAUGAGUUAUGUCAUGUUAUCGACAUGUGAAUUCAUAGCAUGUCAGAAGGCAGACCCGGAGAACUGAAACAUCUUAGUACCCGGAGGAAGAGAAAGAAAAAUCGAUUCCCUGAGUAGCGGCGAGCGAAACGGGAAGAGCCCAAACCAACAAGCUUGCUUGUUGGGGUUGUAGGACACUCUAUACGGAGUUACAAAAGAACAUGUUAGACGAAUCAUCUGGAAAGAUGAAUCAAAGAAGGUAAUAAUCCUGUAGUCGAAAACAUAUUCUCUCUUGAGUGGAUCCUGAGUACGACGGAGCACGUGAAAUUCCGUCGGAAUCUGGGAGGACCAUCUCCUAAGGCUAAAUACUCUCUAGUGACCGAUAGUGAACCAGUACCGUGAGGGAAAGGUGAAAAGUACCCCGGAAGGGGAGUGAAAGAGAACUUGAAACCGUGUGCUUACAAGUAGUCAGAGCCCGUUAAUGGGUGAUGGCGUGCCUUUUGUAGAAUGAACCGGCGAGUUACGAUCUGAUGCAAGGUUAAGCAGCAAAUGUGGAGCCGCAGCGAAAGCGAGUCUGAAUAGGGCGUUGAGUAUUUGGUCGUAGACCCGAAACCAGGUGAUCUACCCUUGGUCAGGUUGAAGUUCAGGUAACACUGAAUGGAGGACCGAACCGACUUACGUUGAAAAGUGAGCGGAUGAACUGAGGGUAGCGGAGAAAUUCCAAUCGAACUUGGAGAUAGCUGGUUCUCUCCGAAAUAGCUUUAGGGCUAGCCUCAAGUGAUGAUUAUUGGAGGUAGAGCACUGUUUGGACGAGGGGCCCCUCUCGGGUUACCGAAUUCAGACAAACUCCGAAUGCCAAUUAAUUUAACUUGGGAGUCAGAACAUGGGUGAUAAGGUCCGUGUUCGAAAGGGAAACAGCCCAGACCACCAGCUAAGGUCCCAAAAUAUAUGUUAAGUGGAAAAGGAUGUGGCGUUGCCCAGACAACUAGGAUGUUGGCUUAGAAGCAGCCAUCAUUUAAAGAGUGCGUAAUAGCUCACUAGUCGAGUGACCCUG